rnacentral:rRNA from 1 species
UUUACGGAGAGUUUGAUCCUGGCUCAGGAUGAACGCUGGCGGCGUGCCUAACACAUGCAAGUCGAACGGGAACCCUUGGAUUCGUCUGGGGGUGAGAGUGGCGAACGGGUGAGUAACACGUAGGUGACCUGCCCCAAAGGGGGGAAUAACUGCUGGAAACGGUGGCUAAUACCCCAUGUGCUCGGUGGUUCGGUCCAUCGAGUAAAGCCCUUCGGGACGCUUUGGGAGGGGCCUGCGGCCCAUCAGGUAGUUGGUAGGGUAAUGGCCUACCAAGCCGAUGACGGGUAGGGGGCGUGAGAGCGUGACCCCCCACACUGGCACUGAGAUACGGGCCAGACUCCUACGGGAGGCAGCAGUGAGGAAUAUUGCACAAUGGACGCAAGUCUGAUGCAGCAACGCCGCGUGCGCGAUGAAGGCCUUCGGGUCGU